rnacentral:rRNA from 1 species
CCUACGGGAGGCUGCAGUGGGGAAUAUUGGACAAUGGGGGGAACCCUGAUCCAGCCAUGCCGCGUGUGUGAAGAAGGCCCUCGGGUUGUAAAGCACUUUCAGUGAGGAAGAACGCCUGGUGGUUAAUACCCAUCAGGAAAGACAUCACUCACAGAAGAAGCACCGGCUAACUCCGUGCCAGCAGCCGCGGUAAUACGGAGGGUGCGAGCGUUAAUCGGAAUUACUGGGCGUAAAGCGCGCGUAGGUGGCUUGAUAAGCCAGUUGUGAAAGCCCCGGGCUCAACCUGGGAACGGCAUCCGGAACUGUCAAGCUAGAGUGCAGGAGAGGAAGGUAGAAUUCCCGGUGUAGCGGUGAAAUGCGUAGAGAUCGGGAGGAAUACCAGUGGCGAAGGCGGCCUUCUGGACUGACACUGACACUGAGGUGCGAAAGCGUGGGUAGCAAACAGGAUUAGAUACCCUUGUAGUC